UACGGCUCAGUAACACGUAGGUAACCUACCCUCAGGACUGAGAUAACCCCGGGAAACUGGGGCUAAUAUUAGAUAGAUAAAAGAUACUGGAAUGUUCUUUUAUCCAAAGCUUUUGCGCCUGAGGAUGGGCCUGCGUCCGAUUAGGUCGUUGGUGGGGUAAUGGCCCACCAAGCCUGCGAUCGGUACGGGCAGUGGAAGCUGAAGCCCGGAGUUGGGGACUGAGACAAGGCCCCAGGCCCUACGGGGCGCAGCAGGCGCGAAGCCUCUGCAAUGCGGGAAACCGUGACAGGGGGAUCCCAAGUGCUCAUGCAUUGCAUGGGCUGUUCUUUGGUCUAAGUAACCAGAGGAGUAAGGGCUGGGCAAGACCGGUGCCAGCCGCCGCGGUAAUACCGGCAGCUCAAGUGGUAGCCGCGAUUAUUGGGCCUAAAACGUUCGUAGCCGGAUAAGUAAGUCUUUGGUUAAAUCCUGCGACUCAACCGUGGGAAUUCUAGAGAUACUGCUCGUCUUGAGACCGGGAGAGGUUGGAGGUACUCCUAGGGUAGGGGUGAAAUCCUGUAAUCCUAGGGGGACCACCUGUGGCGAAGGCGUCCAACUGGAACGGGUCUGACGGUGAGGGACGAAACCUAGGGGAGCGAGCCGGAUURGAUACCCGGGUAGUCCUAGGCGUAAAUGAUGCG
rnacentral:rRNA from 1 species